AAGCCAUCAGCAUCUUAGGCAGAU
rnacentral:miRNA from 1 species